rnacentral:rRNA from 1 species
AAUACCGCGGCCCUUUAAAAUCUUUCAGUGGGCAGAUUAGACUUUAAAUUAUAAUCAAAAAGACAUGUUUUUGUUAAACAGGCGAACAUUAAUUUGCCAAGUUCCUUAAUUUAACCUUUCAAUUUAUUUAUUCUAAACAAUUAAAUAUACUAAUUUUAUCAUUAUUUCAAUUUUUAUAUAAUUUUAAAAAUUAUUUUAAUAAAAACUUAAAUUAAUAAAAAUUAUUUUUAAUUUAAAAUAAAUUAUAACAUUUUCAUAAAUAAUGACUAUUUCUAAGCCUAUAUUUUUUAAAUUAAAAAAUUAUUAUAAAAUUUAUUUUAAAGCUUAUCCCUUAAAAUAUUAAUUAUUAAUAAUAAUUUAUUAAUUAAAUAAAUAAUUACUAUUAAUAAUCUAAAUUUAAUUUAUUUCUUAAAAAACUAGAUAUAUUUAAAAACGAAUAACAUUUCAUUUCUAAUUUAUUAUUUUACAUUUUUAUGAAACAAAAAAUUAAAUAAUAAAUUAACUCUUUUAAAUUCGAGAAAAAUUAAAUUUUUAACUUUUAAUUAAUAAACCCUGAUACACAAGGUACAAUAUAUAAAAUUUACUUUUAAUUUAAUAUUUUUUCAUUUAUUUCAAUAUUCUUUUACAAUACUAAUUAACUAUUAUAUAAAAUAUUUGAUCUAUAUUCUAUACAAAAAAACCUUAAUUUAAAAUUAAUUUUAUUAAAUAAAUUAAUAAACAAAAAAAAAAUUAAUAAAUCUUUAUUAUCAAAUUAAAUUGAAUCUCACAAUAUACUUUUCAAUGUAAAUGAAAUGCUUUACUUUUCAAGCUCUAAUUUGUCUUUCUAGAUACACCUUC